rnacentral:rRNA from 2 species
GUUACAUUCCGAACCCGGAAGCUAAGCCUCGUAGCGCCGAUGGUACUGCAGGGGGGACCCUGUGGGAGAGUAGGACGCCGCCGAAC